rnacentral:rRNA from 1 species
UACGGAGGGUGCAAGCGUUAUCCGGAUUCACUGGGUUUAAAGGGUGCGUAGGUGGGUCUGUAAGUCAGUGGUGAAAUCUCCAAGCUUAACUUGGAAACUGCCGUUGAUACUAUAGAUCUUGAAUGCUGUGGAGGUGAGCGGAAUAUGUCAUGUAGCGGUGAAAUGCUUAGAUAUGACAUAGAACACCAAUUGCGAAGGCAGCUCACUACACAGAUAUUGACACUGAGGCACGAAAGCGUGGGGAGCGAACAGG